rnacentral:rRNA from 1 species
UCGAGAAUAUUCGACAAUGGGCGAAAGCCUGAUCGAGCGACGCCGCGUGCAGGAAGAAGGACUUCGGUUUGUAAACUGCUUUUCUACGGGAAAAAGUUAUUGAUUGUACCGCGGGAAUAAGGGGUGGCUAACUUCGUGCCAGCAGCAGCGGUAAUACGAAGGCUCCAAGCGUUAUCCGGAUUUAUUGGGCGUAAAGAGUGAGAAGGAGGUCUGAUGCGUUUAUUGUCAAAUUUCAUCGCUCAACGGUGAACUCGCGAUAAAUACGAUUAGACUAGAGGGUGUUAGAGGUUGAUGGAACGCACGGUGUAGGGGUGAAAUCCGUUGAUAUCGUGCGGAACACCAAAGGCGAAGGCAUUCAGCUGGAACACUCCUGACUCUCAAUCACGAAAGCGUGGGGAUCAAAAAGG